rnacentral:rRNA from 1 species
AGUGAACGCUGGCGGUAGGCCUAACACAUGCAAGUCGAACGGCAGCACAGGAGAGCUUGCUCUCUGGGUGGCGAGUGGCGGACGGGUGAGGAAUACAUCGGAAUCUACUCUGUCGUGGGGGAUAACGGAGGGAAACUUACGCUAAUACCGCAUACGACCUACGGGUGAAAGCAGGGGAUCUUCGGACCUUGCGCGAGUGAAUGAGCCGAUGUCGGAUUAGCUAGUUGGCGGGGUAAAGGCCCACCAAGGCGACGAUCCGUAGCUGGUCUGAGAGGAUGAUCAGCCACACUGGAACUGAGACACGGUCCAGACUCCUACGGGAGGCAGCAGUGGGGAAUAUUGGACAAUGGGCGCAAGCCUGAUCCAGCCAUACCGCGUGGGUGAAGAAGGCCUUCGGGUUGUAAAGCCCUUUUGUUGGGAAAGAAAUCCAGCUGGCUAAUACCCGGUUGGGAUGACGGUACCCAAAGAAUAAGCACCGGCUAACUCCGUGCCAGCCGCCGCCGUAA